GCCGACCACCACCCGUACUCGUAACUCAGGCCUACUUCUCAGGCGGUCGCCCUCACUGCCUGCCGCCGCCGGCGAAGUAGCGCGUCGUCUCCUCCGGCACCGGCGACGGCCAGGAGAGUCCGUUUCAUUCCUUCACCACCUCCCUUUCCUUGCUGGAAUACAUUUCUUGUCCCGCACAUUAGUGAUUGGUUGCCAUGUCAUUUGUGAUCGCUCCGUCCUAACCUACGAGGCGGUAGCGGCGAGCUUGCAGAUUCAGAAUCCGGUGCCGCAAUAAGCGCAUUUCUUUCUUCUGCGGUAGGGGGAUAGUUUUGUGCCGCAAUGGGAGGGUGCGAUGUGAGGCGGACCCGCGGAGGGAGGUAAAGUUGGAUUUUUGCCCAACUGGAAAUUAACAAUUGAAGUGGGAGACAAAGAUUUCAUCCUCAUCUGUAGUGUUUCUGUCAGGCUCUGCUGCGGAAAGAGUGACGGUAUUUGAUAUUCUAUUUUGGGGAUGGCAAGCGCAAGUUAUUCUAAUGCUCGACCAAUCUUAGUCUGUUAUGCUGGAUGUUAGUCUGUUUGGUCAUGCUUAAUGUGGCAUGCAUUACCUCCCAUGGUGCUUGCAAGCAAAGAUGAGAUUACUGAUUAGGUAUACAAUAGCAUGCAUGUGGUGGAGUUUUCUGGUGUUGACUAUUUGGCUCUUUUUGAGAGACGUAAGUUGCAACUUUGAAGUGUGAACUAUUUUUAAGUAUUUGGGAACAUGGCAACAACUUCUGCAAAGGUUAAAAGAUUGAUUAUAAAAUUCAUCAGCUGAAUUUCUGGUACACUCUAUGCAAUCUUUGUUUCUGAUAGUGUCUGCUGAAGUAUUGAGUGUUUAUGUGUACCUACUGGCCUACUAUAGCAUCAGUUUGGUUGGUAUGUUCACACCUAUACUGAGGCAUUUGGCUGUUGUAACCUUGAUAUUCAGGGAUGCUUCCUGUGUUUGAUUUCUUAUUGAGGACUCUUAUCCCCAUCUCGUUGUCAUGCACAAUUUAUGAGAGCUGGUCUAAUUCACCUAUAUCUAAUAGGGAGGUAACAGAGCGGGUGUAACUUGAUUUGUUAGCUGGUUACUUCAUUGCAGUCUUUUUCAAGUGAUUGAUGGAUCCUUCUAGGCAGGGUCAGUUCUUCCAUAUGUACUAUUUAUCUCUGCAUAUUACCAUUUAUCUCCUCAAAUGCACAAGCAACAUUUCAUAUUUUCUUACAAAUGUGCCACCACAUAAUCAGACCUGUUACCUUGUACUUUGGUUUCCCUCUGAUUUUUUUUUAAAUAAAGCAUAAUUGUAUCACAUUGUGUAAGUUUUCUUGCUUAAUAAUAAUGGAUUUUCAACACAUGGCCAUAAUCUGCUACUCUGCUUUGGUAUUUGGUUCAUUUAACAUGUUGUCUUAGUUGCGUUGUUUUCUAUUGUGCUGAAUUUGUUCUAUAUGUAGAUGUUGGUAGCCUCAGCAUGUGUUCCUUUCCUUUUGUAUCUUGCUCUAUUUAGUUUAACAGAAGACAAGAGGAAAGAAACUUUUUAGUCUUAUCUGUAGCAAAGCUUUUCUCCAAGUUGGAUGCUGUGGAGUGUGGAGUAAAAGAGAUCAGCAGUGGUUGCGUCUUGUCCAUCCACACAAUACCUUAUUAAUCAAUUAGAAGAAAAUCUUAUCUAAAUUUUACACAGGAGCAGUUUCAACAAUUAGUUGGCUACAAAGGUCCGGAGUGCAGACCACUUAUCUACACAUUUUAUUUACCCUAUCAGACUUGCUGAAUUUCUUAUUUCUUGCGUGCAUGACCAGAAACUUCUUUCUAGUCUUAUUUUUAGUGUGAUUUAACUUUUUUGAUAAAUCCUAAUGCUAAUCAGAUUUAUAAGAAUCGAAAGAUGAAAUGAAGACCACUCACUGUCUCACUCUUGCCAUAAACCAGUUCCAUUCUGUUCACUCAUACUGAUACCUCUACAGUUGUCCUAAAGGCCUGACCAUUACUGGCCAGUAAAGCUAAUGGUAGUGCAUUUCUGAAAGAAAUCAGAGGAUUUUGGUUGUUGCUAAUUUUUCUGACCUGUUUCAGAACUUACCUAUAAAUAAGGUACAUGGGUGUACCACAAUCUCUAUUGGAACCGAACUUAAGAAUAAACAGACUAUUAUUCCUGCUCUUUAGUAUAGUACAAAAAGCAUGCCAUCUUCUUUCAUUUUUAUUAUAAUUUUUCUAUCUUGCUCUGCAUCUUGUCGGCAUUAAUAUUUAUUUAUUCACUGCCUCCUUUAUAUGUUUCCAGAUGCAGUUUUAUCAUGUUUUAGGACUUGAGAAUUCUAGGGAGUAAAUGAGAAUGUGAUAGACAUAGCAAUGAUGAAGGUCUAAGAAUGAUUCUCAUAUUUACUUAGAACCAAGCCCGAGUUUGGAGAAAUAAGAAAUGCAGUACACCUUUAUGUCUCUAAGGGCCCCAAAUUGUUUCAUCAUGAUUAGAUCCUGCCUUUAUCCAAGCCUUAGAAAUUAUACGGAUUUAAAUUUAGCAUUUAACCUCAUAUCAUAUUGUAUUGAAUAAUAACUGAGAACCAUAUCAUGCAGUUAAUUGAUCAGGAGAAUAUCAACAGAGAUGAAUAAAAUAUCAUGCAUAUAGAGCAUCCUUGUAUUGCACACUAUUGCACAAACUGAUACAAACUAUCCACACACUACAGACACAUACACCAUGAGCACCGUAGAUUUUAAAAUACCGAAAUCCAUACUAAAGCAAAUAUAGCUAGUGAGUACAAGACUCCAAACUGCUAGGCAGAUAGCUGAAUGGCCUGACCUAUGUAUAGAUGUAUUCUUUCAGCCUUCAAUAGCGAGGGCGUUACCGUAACCAAAUUAUAGAGCCAACAUCCUGAUUUCUUCAUCUUCCAUCUUCCAGAAUAUCUCAGGGCAACUAUAAUCCCACAUAGCAGGUGAUGGCAGAGUGCAGGGGAUACUGCUGCAUGUCUUCUCUUUCCCUUCAGCAGUGCCCAGCAAGGCAGGUGCCUCGAUUUCCCUCCAUAUUUGAUCCAUGGGAUAUGCAUCCAUGGAACUCUGGGUGCUCUCGAGGGUGCUGGUGACACAGGCACUGCCAUUGGGAGUGUCACCACUGCCCAUCCCAAUGAUUGGAGAGGUGUCAAUAAGGCAGGAUUGGUAUGUCAAUGAGGAGGAGGAUGAAGGUGAUAUGCUCAUCUUUCUCUCUUGUGCUUUCUUUCUCAUGUGUGUCCUCCAGUAGUUCUUGAUCUCAUUGUCUGUGCGCCCUGGGAGCCUCCGUGCUAUUCUAGACCAUCUACAUAUGGAGAAUUUGAGUGAGUUUUAUCUUAACCUAAAUUUACUAACCGAGAAAAGCUACUUCCUAGAGAACCUCUUUGGAUCAAACCUGUUCCCCCACUGAGCAUGGAGCUCAAUAAUAAGGCGCUCCUCUUGCGGUGACAUGCGGCCAUGCUUGAGGCUAGGGUGGAGGUAGUUCACCCACCGGAGGCGGCAACUCUUUCCUGUCCUGUCGAGGCCUGCAUGAACAUAGAGAACGUAUAAUAUGAAGAGGGCUGGUUAGACAGGAUUACAUUUAUGUUUGAGACUUUGCGCUAAGGAUUGCAAAAUAUCUACCUAAGUUGCAGUUCCCAACCCCUCAAACCUGAGACUUGGGCAAUGAAGUCCCAACGACGGUCACCGAACAGGCGGACAGUGCAUACCAGUUGCAUGUCCUCCUGCUCUGUCCAUGGCCCCUUACGCAUCUCUUCUCUCACAGUCACCAUGUUACUGUCACACUAACGUUGCUCACUUCUACCUUGGGUAGGCUGGGAACCAGUCUUGGUGCUCUUCUUCCGCUGUGUGAUUGUGGGAAGUUUCAGGUUUUGAUCUUUGAUGAACUCCAGCUUGAUAGGAAGAAGGUGCUCUUAGGGGGAGGAAGUCACUAUGUGUCUGUCUUAAGCUGUGUAGUGGAUUGCUGGCUUUUGCCAGACAUUUAUAGGCAACAGGGAAGCACUUCGCUCCCCCAAAAUAAAUGAAAUAAAAUAGAACAGGAAGCACUUAUGAGGUCACAUGGUUCUGUGGUUGUGAUUUAGAGCAUCCUAUCAUCAUUAGGGUUGUGCUCAGACUCAGCUAAAAUAAUUAUUUUUCCUUGGUUCUUGGUUUGCGUUACACAUUAUAUAAAGCAAUGUUCAAGAUGACUUUGUUUAUAAUGGAUUCAGAAUAGUACAUGUAACCCUUAUCUGUUAGCUCUGUGACUGUGAGUUGGCCCCACUGCUUUUGUGUAAUAGCACAGUCAUUUUGACAUAUAACAAUAGAGAACACUCUGUUCCUUUUUUUCUGGAUAAUAAGUUGUUUGGUUAUGCUUUGCAAAAAAAGAAAGGUGAGACGUUCGUGGCUGCUGUUAUUUUGGUAUCUAAUAAUCCCUGAGCAUUAAUUCCUUAAGCAUAUUAUUAUUUAUAAGUCGAAUAGACGCCUGAACUCUAAGUGCAUCCUCGUUCUUGCUUUAGGUAACCCAUUCUAAGUAGUGAGUACAUGACAUAAGCCUGCACUUCAAAUUUGUCAACCACGUUCAAUCAUUUUUCUUUUCCUUUUCUAGAUGUUUCAUGGAAAUUAUAAAUGGGUUUCUACAGGUUUUUUCGACAAAUCGAAACAAAUGUUCUCCUACUUUUCAUCUGAACUUUUUACUCGGUGAGUUAUGAUAGUUGACCAAUUUAUAAAUUCUUGGGUAUUCAUGGAGUCAAAUACCAUGUGUAGAGUGCGGCAAACUUUCUUCAGACUGUUUCCCACUUCCUUUUUCCUGGAAAUGAACACCAUUUUCUUUUCUGUCAGCCAUUAUCAUUGGCACUGAGGACUCCAUCCGUCUUUUCUUGUCAGCCACCACCCUAAGCAUAGAGGAAUAUACCAGUCACACACAAUAGAAUCCAUGCGUAAAUCAAAAAAAAAAGUGUAUUCUUCCACUGAGGGUGCUUUGUAAAAAAAAAUGCACUUUGGUGUUAGAUGAGCCACGUAAAAGUAAUCUUUUGUGUGUCUGUGUGAGUACUAGGAUGCCUUGUGCUAUUGUGAAGCGGAUAUCUGAUUUACUGAUGAUACUAGUGAUAACAUGUCAGCCUUAUCAAAAACAGGAGUGUUGAAGUUUUUUUAUUAAUAUAUGGUAGCAGACUGCAGCGAUAUAGCUAGCAGAACAUGCUCAGCAGUAUUUAAAAUACAUAUAUCAACUAUUUGUUAAACCAGUUGAGCAAAAUAACCAGCUUUUUUAGGGUUGCAUAUUUUGUGCAUUUUAUAGCUCAUUGACUGUUGUUUUAAUAGUUCAUAGACUGUGGAUUCCAAAUGGAAUACAGCUAAAACAUGUAACAAAUGAAUCAUACUAAGGUGCAACUAAGCUCCGUGGCACAGUACUGUAUGCUUAGGUAAGCUGGGCAAUACAGUGGCUACCCUAGUAGUGGUCUCUACCUCAUCUCUGCUAUGCAGUCUAUUUCAAAAAAGACAUGUCUAUUUUAGAGUUUCAUUAUUUGUUUUUCGAAAUGUGCUUCCUUUUCUAGGUCCCGUGUUGCAUCAUCAGAAAUGAGCAUGAUUGAUAAUACAACAUUUUCCAUCUUUGUUAUAUUUCUGACAUCCUGGUUGAUUGGUAAGUGAGUGUGGUGAAUGAUAGAUCUUUUUUAGCACCUGACCAUCAUUCUAUCACUCAUCACUAUAUUUUGUAUAUCAUUUAUGCAUGCAUCGAGAAGAAAGAUUUGAAGUGACAGGUUUCUAGACAGUAGGGCCCUGAGCAGUUUUUUAUCCUCAAGACCUAACUUCUUCAUUGCUGGGGAAUUAGUUGUUCUGAUUUUGAAAGGUCCCCUCAGCACAAAGUUAAUACCAUUUCCUGGGAGAGGGUCAUGCGGCUGACCCGGAUCGAGGGGGAAAAAGUCAUGGAAGAAGCUUUGAUGUGGAGGCCACCAACCUGCUACCUGUGUUAAUGUCCACUUUGUGGCGGGGACGGCCUCUCACCAACUUGUUAUAUUGGCAUCUAUCCUGCUUUUGAAGGCUUACUUUGAACAGUGAACACUGCUCUAUUCCACUAAUGGAGAUCCCCAUUGGUUAUCUGAUUUUCUCAUCCUGCUUCCAUUGUUUUGUUUGAGUGUUUAUCGUUUGUCCUUAUUUUAUCUGUCUGUCACUUGCUGUAGUCUCUGACUGGCACCAAGAGCUCAUCUUCCUCGCUUUUCUGGACGUGGCAGGAUGUACUAAGUUUAGGACUGAUCAGUCAUCAUGCUUGUGAUGAUAACUUCCUUUUUCCAUGUUCAUCAAGUGCACGACUUAAGUUGUUUUCUCAGAUAUGUGCAUGCAUAUCAAGAACCCUUUGGACCCUCCUUCAUGCUAGGAAGAAGUAAAAAUUCAGUUAACCUCUGUGAUAUUGAUGCUUGUCUUCGUAUAUUCAUAUGAUUCAUAUUGAGCAUGAUGUGCAAAAUCACAACCUGUCCAUCAUCUUGACCAUCAACAGUCUGAAGAUUAUAAUCCUCGUCGUAUGAUGAUUGAGACCACCACAAGAUGAUGGCCAGGCAAUUCUUUUCCAGAAAAGUUAGUUGAUAAGUAAUGUGAUCCGGUGACGACAGCGGAUGCUGAUGGCAACACAUGCAGGCGGAGCCGAAACCACCACCCGUUUUGCAUGAUUUGGUCCCGCCACACACGCGCUCGCGCUGGGUGGAGGAGCCUAGGGAGGGAGCCAAAGGUGGUGGAGCUAUCAAAAGCAGCAUCCACUGGGCGAUCCAUGGACAGAAAACUAAUGGCUGCUUUGGCCUGCGUCCCUGUGAGGUUAGCACACAAUGAGCUCAUGGCAACACUUUGUCCUGCGUAGGAUAUAGUGGAGGUCAGUUCACCCUAUCAUUGACGUGCUUGGGCCAUUAGGGAGACGAGAGGGGAUGGGUGAUGUUCAGUUUGUGGCCGUGAUCUCGACAUGUCGAUGCCCGGGAAACAGUAAACUACGUGUGUGCUGGAUUUGUUUGAGAUGCAUGCUGAAUUCUGCGGAUUGAAAUUCGGUGACAUUUCCCGUGACAUUGAGUCACUGACAUGUGGGACCCAUGUGGGCCCAAAAGACGUGGCUUCCACACGUCAGUGACUCAAUGUCACGGGGAAUGUCACCGUGCAAUGACACCGAAUCUGCCGGGUUUGUUUUGCAUGUACGGCCGGAUCGAUAUCUUUUGCGCCUGGAUCGUGAUGAGGUUGUUUAUGGUGAACAGUGGAAGAGUCCAGUCCAGGCUCAAUAGUCAGCCAUCACCUACCAAAUUAAAUAUUAGGGCCUGACCCCUGACACGAAAUGUUUUAUUAUCUUAAUAUGAGCAUGACACAUGUAAGUAAUUACAAGAUAAUUUGUUUUGGAUUUGGUCCCUAGAUCCGACAGUAGCACAUUGUUGCAUCAACAGGGUUGCGAUGUUUCUGUGUGCCU